GAUGAAGAACGUAGCGAAAUGCGAUAAGUAAUGUGAAUUGCAGAAUUCAGUGAAUCAUCGAAUCUUUGAACGCACAUUGCGCCCGCCAGUAUUCUGGCGGGCAUGCCUGUUCGAGCGUCAUUUCAACCAUCAAGCCCCAGGCUUGUGUUGGAGCCCUGCGGCUGCCGCAGCCUCCCAAAACCAGUGGCGGGCUCGCUAUCACACCGAGUGCAGUAGUUUACUCUUCGCUCAGGGCGUGUGGCGGGUGCUAGCCGUGAAACCCCCAACUUCUCAAGGUUGACCUCGGAUCAGGUAGGAAUACCCGCUGAACUUAAGCAUAUCAAUAAGCGAGGA
rnacentral:misc_RNA from 1 species